rnacentral:rRNA from 1 species
GAUUCCCUAGUACGGCGAGUGAAGCGGGAAGAGCUCAAAUUUGAAAUCUGGUAGCCUUCGGUUGCCCGAGUUGUAAUCUAGAGAAGUGUUUUCCGUGCCGGCCCAUGUACAAGUCCCUUGGAACAGGGCGUCAUAGAGGGUGAGAAUCCCGUCCUUGACAUGGACCCCCGGUGCUUUGUGAUACACUUUCAACGAGUCGAGUUGUUUGGGAAUGCAGCUCAAAAUGGGUGGUGAAUUCCAUCUAAAGCUAAAUAUUGGCGAGAGACCGAUAGCGAACAAGUACCGUGAGGGAAAGAUGAAAAGCACUUUGGAAAGAGAGUUAAACAGUACGUGAAAUUGUUGAAAGGGAAACGAUUGAAGUCAGUCAUGCUCUUAGGAUUCAGCCGUUCUGCGGUGUAUUUCCUUUGAGUGGGGUCAACAUCAGUUUUGAUCGAUGGAUAAAGGCACGAGGAAGGUAGCACUCUCGGGUGAACUUAUAGCCUCGCGUCAUAUACAUUGAUUGGGACUGAGGAACGCAGCAUGCCUUUAUGGCCGGGAUUCGUCCACGUACAUGCUUAGGAUGUUGACAUAAUGGCUUUAAACGAC